UCUUCGGUGUCCUCGCCGCCCCUCCUCAGAUCCACUCGUCUCCCUCUCCACAGACACCGCCCACUCAGAUCCUCCGUAGCCCCGCUGCCGUUCGUCGCCACCCUAUCCUCCUGUCAAUGCGCCUCCACGCCGACGAGCCCCCUAGCGUCGCCAUCUCCUCACCUCACCCGCCCUCCUCCUCGCCAUCCCAGCCCCGGCGCCCAGACAUGGGGGCCUGGCCGGAGCAAGAUCCAUCCAUGGCGGGCCUAGGUCCGGCCGCCUCCUUGGCUUCGUGCUGCAAGGCGGCCCUGUAGGGGGCGGGCCCCUCAGCCGCUUGAGCCAGGCCGGCGCGUGCGCGCCACUCGACCGCGCCCCGAGCCGCGCGCCACCUUGUUCAUGAGCGCAUGGACCUGCUCGCCCCUUCCAUGCAGGCCUGGGGUCUGCUCGUCUGCUCAAGCGCCAUCCAGGCAAGUGGAUCCCUCUGAUUUUUUUGCUCCCCAUUCGAUUCAAGCCAUUUUACUUCACUUGCACCUCUACUGGAUGCAAAAUCCCCCACGAUUUCUUCUCAAAUGUGCAGUACACGACUAGGAUCUAUGGCCUUUGCUUGGUCAGAGUUUUGAGACUGAACUCAUCACUAAGCUCUAAACUAGGCGGCUUGCAAUGCAAAAUCAUGGAGUAUGCUAUCCUUGGUUCUCCUUACUAUUAUUUUUCUGCUACAACACCAUACUAGCUUUCAUGCACACUACCACGAGUCCAUUUAUGGUUAGUGAUUCUGAAGAUAAUAUUUCUUUAUGCAGAACGAUUGAACACAAUCCCAAAUUCAGGUUCCCUAACACAGUUAUUUUCCUUUUUGCUUGGUGAAAGUUUGCCACUUAUACCAAGCUGGCACUCAAUUCAGGAAGCCAUUUUUGAAUGGGGGCAGGGAUUUCCUGAUUCACAAAUAGUUAAUUACCUAAUUACAAAUGGUUAUAGGUUGUUUUAGACCUUAUGUUUUUAUUGCCACAAUCAAAUGCACAUGCUUUAUCUUCAGUGAGUGAGAUUACUGUUAGAUAGUGUUCUUGAACAUUGAUGUAUUUUGGAUCUAUACUUGUAACAUGAUUACAACAAGUUUUUUUCCUGAAACUAUAGGUUUAAUAUGACUAGUGGAGAGUUUAUGUUCAAAAUUCACCUUAGCAGCUGUCACUUUGUUUAGACUUAAAUCUGAUGAGAUGCCUGAACUAAUCAUAAGUAUUUCUUUUCCCUUGGCAGGUUGCAUUACUACAUAGCAAGCUGAGUGUGAAAACCUAUGUGCUCUAUUGUUGGUGUUGCAGAUCAUGUUGGAGUGUUGGUGCUCUGGAACAUUUGCUCCUUUGCUUCUGGAAUCAAAUUGCUACUUGUAUCAGGUGCUUCGAUUUUUGGUGUUGUAGGUGUUGCUGGUGUGUAUUUUGGGCUGUUGUAUCUCUUUUCGAUGUAAACAUAGAUUGUAUCUCUUAUUUUGGGCUGCUAAAAUUUGAUAUGUAUUUUGGGCUGUAAUGAUCAUUCUGGUGUAUAGUAUGAGAAAUUGGAUUGAAUUGAUGGGCUCAAUUUUCAA